CGAUAUAGUCAUGCCGGAGAGUGACUAGCUAACUGAAAUCACAAAAUCACAAAUAGUGCUUAUUGUGAUAACGUAAGGGAAAAAAUUGAUAUUACCUUACUAUAAGUGUUGUCUAAAUAACUGGUGCCAGAAGACUCGGUAACACCAGAAACGCGAACGUUAGUCGUCUUAAACAGGCGUAAAGGGUAAGUAGGCUGCUUUAAAUGUCUAAAUUAAUAUAAGCUAAUUAAUAAUUUUUUAUUAAAAACUAUUUUCAAAUUAAAUAUAUAGCUGCUGCUUACUUCUAACGCAGCUGCUCCUUGUUAUUUACGAAAUUAGUAACUAGCAAUUCGCAGCUUGCUUCGCUAUAAAUAACACACUAAAAAUUGAAAUUACUUAAUAUAAUAAUGAUUAUUUUCUAUUAAAAUAGACUCACUUAAAGCUAGAAUCAUAAUUGAGAUAAACCAAAUAAUACUUAAGUGUAAGGGCGAUAUCUGAAAAUACUAAGUAGAAUACUAACGGUGAAAACUUUUUAUCUAGGAAUGAUUGACGCUGAGGUACGAAAGUGAGAACAGGGAAUAGGAUUAGAUACCCAGUUACCUCUCACCGUCAACGAUGAAUGGAAGUUGUUAAUUUAUUAAAAUUAGUGACGAUGUUAACGCGAUACCAUUCCGCCUUGAGAGUACGGUUGCAAAACUGAAACCAAAAAAAUUAGUCGGUCUCGGAGCAAACGGAGUGAAGCAU
rnacentral:rRNA from 1 species